AAAUAAGUCAUGCUGUUUCAGUGUUUGCAGAUGACACAGAACUCUGUAAAGUAAUACAAUGUGAGCAAAAUAUUACUUUGCUGCUGAGGGAUUUUGAUAGACUGGGGGAUUGGGCACUCAAAUGGCAGAUGAAAUUUAUUUUUUGAAAAAUGCAAAGUUAUGCACUUCGGGGUUAAGAAUGCGCAAGCAAUGGAAGCGAAUUAGGG